GGACGAGAUAAACACUGAAAGCAUAUAAGUGUGAAACUCACCUCAAGAUAAGGUUUCCCUGAAGGGCACUUGUAGACUACAAGUUUGAUAGGUUGGAAGUGGAAGUGCAGUAAUGCAUGCAGCUAACCAAUACUAAUUGCCCGUUCGGCUUGGCCAC
rnacentral:rRNA from 1 species